rnacentral:rRNA from 1 species
GACGAACGCUGGCGGCGUGCUUAACACAUGCAAGUCGAACGGAAAGGCCCUGCUUUUGUGGGGUGCUCGAGUGGCGAACGGGUGAGUAACACGUGAGUAACCUGCCCUUGACUUUGGGAUAACUUCAGGAAACUGGGGCUAAUACCGGAUAGGAGCUCCUGCUGCAUGGUGGGGGUUGGAAAGUUUCGGCGGUUGGGGAUGGACUCGCGGCUUAUCAGCUUGUUGGUGGGGUAGUGGCUUACCAAGGCUUUGACGGGUAGCCGGCCUGAGAGGGUGACCGGCCACAUUGGGACUGAGAUACGGCCCAGUCUCCUACGGGAGGCAGCAGUGGGGAAUAUUGCACAAUGGGCGGAAGCCUGAUGCAGCAACGCCGCGUGCGGGAUGACGGCCUUCGGGUUGUGAACCGCUUUCGCCUGUGACGAAGCGUGAGUGACGGUAAUGGGUAAAGAAGCACCGGCUAACUACGUG